CGGAAGUGACGUUGAUAUUUCUUUUUUUGCUGGAUAAAUACGUGCCGGAUCCUCCCUGCUUUCUGAAAAAAUGUUCUUAAACUCUGAUGCGUCAUCCUUUCUCCCAAACCAUCCACAAAAACAGAAAAAGAAUCUCUCCAUUGUUUGGAUCCUUUACUGUCAAUACUUGCUGUCAUAGGAUGCCUACCUUGCUGCUGUCCAGAUUUAAAC
rnacentral:lncRNA from 1 species